rnacentral:rRNA from 1 species
UACGUAGGGUGCAAGCGUUAAUCGGAAUUACUGGGCGUAAAGCGUGCGCAGGCGGUUUUGUAAGUCUGACGUGAAAUCCCCGGGCUCAACCUGGGAAUUGCGUUGGAGACUGCAAGGCUGGAGUCUGGCAGAGGGGGGUAGAAUUCCACGUGUAGCAGUGAAAUGCGUAGAGAUGUGGAGGAAUACCGAUGGCGAAGGCAGCCCCCUGGGUCAAUACUGACGCUGAGGCUCGGAAAGCGUGGGGAGCAAACAGG